rfam:Acyrthosiphon pisum strain LSR1 Contig35683, whole genome shotgun sequence.
UAUUUGAUGCGAAGCUGGUUUUCACUUUGAUCUGUCAGAUUUAUCAUUGUUCAUUCUGAGAUCAUUGUGAAAGCUAAUUUCGUAAC